GCUGGGUUUGGUGGGGCACACCUGUAAUCCCAGCUACUCAGGAGGCUGAGGCAGGAGCAUUGUAAGUUCAAAGUCAACCUCAGCAACCUAGUGAGACCCUGUCAA
rnacentral:sRNA from 1 species